CCUACGGGAGGCAGCAGUAGGGAAUCUUCCACAAUGGGCGAAAGCCUGAUGGAGCAACGCCGCGUGGGUGAAGAAGGUCUUCGGAUCGUAAAACCCUGUUGUUAGAGAAGAAAGUGCGUGAGCGUAACUGUUCACGUGUCGACGGUAUCUAACCAGAAAGCCACGGCUAACUACGCGCCAGCAGCAGCGGUAAUACGUAGGUGGCAAGCGUUAUCCGGAUUUAGUGGGCGUAAGGGGAACGCAGGCGGUCUUUUAAGUCUGAUGUGAAAGCCUUCGGCUUAACCGGAGUAGUGCAUUGGAAACUGGGGGACUUGAGGGCAGAAGAGGAGAGUGGAAGUCCAUGUGUAGCGGUGAAAUGCGUAGAUAUAAGGAAGAACACCAGGGGCGAAAGCGACUCUCUGGUCUGUAACUGACGCUGAGGUUCGAAAGCGUGGGUAGCAAACAGGAUUAGAUACCCCUGUAGUC
rnacentral:rRNA from 1 species